GCCCAGGUGGUGAAAUUGGUAGACACGCCAGCUUCAGGUGCUGGUGACCUUACGGUCGUGGAAGUUCGAGUCUUCUCCUGGGCACCA
rnacentral:tRNA from 152 species